GUCAUAGCUCAGUGGAAGAGCGGGUGCCUUGCAUGUAGAAGGUCCCAGGUUCCAUCCUUGAUUUCUCCUGGUAGGAAUU